GGCGCAGCACAGGUACGUGGGCGGGCGGAUCGUGGUGGCUGCGCUUGCGAGGACCCUGAGGUAGAUUGGGUGGUUUCAACAGGAACGCAUCCACUGUCUGAGAGUUUAAACUUGAUUUUGUGAGGGGACGAACAGCGUGACAAUUAAAAGAAGAUCUGGGAAUCAAAAGCUUCCUGAGGCCUUCACCAGAAGCAGAUGCUGGUGCCGUGCUUCUACAGCCUGCAGAACUAAGAGAAGACAUGGAGAAGAGGAGGGAGUAGUUGUGACCGUGGAGGCAGAGAAUGGAGUAAUGUGAUCAUAAAUCAAGGAAUGCUGACAGCCACUAAAGCUGGAGAAGGCCAAGGACAGAUAUUCAAUCCUCCCGUAGAAGUACAGCCCUGCUAAUGCAUUGAUUUUGGACUUCUGGCCUCAGAACUAUUUAUAUAUCAGCUUUUUAUCAGUUGAAAUAAACCACCCUGGGCCGGGUGCAGUGGCUCACACCUGUAAUCCCAGCACUUUGGGAGGCCGAGGUCUGGAAAGCAUGGAAAUUUGUAUCUUCAUUCACUUUUGUUUUCAUGGACUCUUUUCAUGUUUGAACUUUUCAUGAUCCAAUGUGAUAAUUUAUGUGAAAUCUUUCUGCAAACUAUACAGUAUGAUAAAAAUAUAAGGUAGUUUCACUGGAAACAACAGAAGACUAGAAGCUGAUGUGACGUGGCAAUAUCAACCAGGAAUACCCAUCUCGAGUUCUGGAUAUGUGCUCUGAGAAGGUGCCCAUGUCACCGACCACACUGGAGGCCAAUGCAGAUACUGGGGGAAGGUUCCAUGGUAGCUAAGUGUGGACAAGCUAAUCACUGAAGUUCCCUGAUGCAGAGUUGAUAAUCUCUCUAGAGUUGGAUGAAAGACUGUGCUGCCUUGAAGCUCUGAGAGAUGCCAUGCCAAUUCAAGGCAGGGUCUUUAUUGUUGAAACUCUUGCGUAAUGACAUCUUUAUUCAGGUGAAAAUACAGGAUGAAUUUCAACUAUAUGAUAUUGUUUAUGUUCCUCAGACAUGUUAUUUGUCUUUACAAAGAUUGGUUUCAAUAAACUGUGUGACUGAUAUUAAAUAAACAUGGAAUUUUACACAUUCAUAAUA